AAGAGGGGGACCUUCGGGCCUCUUGCCAUCGGAUGUGCCCAGAUGGGAUUAGCUAGUAGGUGGGGUAACGGCUCACCUAGGCGACGAUCCCUAGCUGGUCUGAGAGGAUGACCAGCCACACUGGAACUGAGACACGGUCCAGACUCCUACGGGAGGCAGCAGUGGGGAAUAUUGCACAAUGGGCGCAAGCCUGAUGCAGCCAUGCCGCGUGUAUGAAGAAGGCCUUCGGGUUGUAAAGUACUUUCAGCGGGGAGGAAGGGAGUAAAGUUAAUACCUUUGCUCAUUGACGUUACCCGCAGAAGAAGCACCGGCUAACUCCGUGCCAGCAGCCGCGGUAAUACGGAGGGUGCAAGCGUUAAUCGGAAUUACUGGGCGUAAAGCGCACGCAGGCGGUUUGUUAAGUCAGAUGUGAAAUCCCCGGGCUCAACCUGGGAACUGCAUCUGAUACUGGCAAGCUUGAGUCUCGUAGAGGGGGGUAGAAUUCCAGGUGUAGCGGUGAAAU
rnacentral:rRNA from 1 species